CUCCGGAACGCCACCAGGGCGAGAGGCGGAAGCGGAGUCGACGGGGGAGCAGCAGCCGUCGAUCCCGCGCCAUGAGGACGCAAAAAUGAAAGUCAUGCAGAUCACAAGUCCAGGUUGAAUAUGGAAAAAACAAAACAACAAACAUCAGCACAAACAAAUCCCAUUUCCUAAGAAAUCAACGAUGGGUAACUGGCUAGAAUAAACUGUGCACAUUCCCAAAAUCUGGCCAAAAGGUGGAGACAAAGGAAAAAGAGCAGCAUGACUAUGAAUCAUCUGGAAAUCAGCAUGGAUUUGGAAAGAUUCAGAACAGCACACUGUAAUACCUGCCUCUAAAGUGAACCUGUGUCCACUGCUGUGAAACACGGGAGAGUCCAGGUUUUGGAGAGUUAGCUACACAUUUUUAUUAUGCAAAAAAAAUGCUUCAGAUCAACAUGAUUGGAUUUCCUUCCUCUCUCUCAUCUGUGAAAUUGUCAAGAGCAAAUCCCAGGAGGCAAACCAGGCAAAAGAGUAGCACGGAGCUCUCCAGCAGCUAGGAUUUGUCAAUGUUUAUCAUUCAAGGAAACAGAGUGCCUUGCUCAGACUAUUGGAAACUUGAUCGAUCUUAAUUUGACUGUCUUUCAUCCACUGUAUCUUCAGUAACAUAGAAGCCUCUUUGCAAAUCAUCGAGCCAAUUAUUCUUAAGUAGAGCUGGGUGGGAAAUUUUUCAAGGAAACUUUUUCCAUCCGAAAAAAAAAAAGGAAAGCUGGUGUGUUUAAACCAAAAUUAUCUGAAAAA